UGCAGUUAAUUAUUUGUCAUGCUAUACAUGCAAUUGGACGACUGCUUGAAGCCGUGGGCUGCGUCCAAAACCACGUACUUACCUGCUAUAUAGUAGCUGAGAUACAUGUAUUUCACCUACUAUAUGCAUGUAUUUCACCUACUAUUUAGUAGGUGAAAUACUUGUAUAUAGCAGGUGAAAUACAUGUAUAUAGUAGGUGAAAUACAAGUUUUUUGGCUACGAUAUAGUAGGUGAAAUACUUGUAUAUAGUAGAAUAAGUGUAUAUAGUAGGUAAAAUACAUGAAUAUAGUAGGUGAAAUACAUGUAUAUAGUAGGUGAAAUACAUGUAAGUAGUAGGUGAAAUACAUGUAUAUAGUAGAAUACGUGUAUAUAGUAGGUGAAAUACACGUAUUUCGGCUACGAUAUAGUAGGUGAAAUACAUGUAUAUAGUAGAAUACAUGUAUAUAGUAGGUACAAUACAUGUAUAUAGUAGAAUAUGUGUAUAUAGUAGGUGAAAGACAUGUAUAUAGUAGGUGAAAUACACGUAUUUCGGCUACGAUAUAGUAGGUGAAAUACAUGUAUAUAGUAGAAUACGUGUAUAUAGUAGGUGAAAUAUAUGUAAGCAAUAGGUGAAAUACAUGCAUAUAGUAGGUGUAACACACGUAUUUCAGCUACGAUAUAGUAGGUGAAAUACUUGUAUAUAGUAGAAUACGUGUAUAUAGUAGGUGAAAUACAUGUAUAUAGUAGGUGAAACACACGUAUUUCAGCUACGAUAUAGUAGGUGAAAUACAUGUAUAUAGUAGGUGAAAUACAUGUAUAUGGUAGAAUACGUGUAUAUAGUAUGUGAAAUACAUGUAUAUAGUAGGUGAAAUACACGUAUUUCGGCUACGAUAUAGUAGGUGAAAUACAUGUAUAUGGUAGAAUACAUGUAUAUAGUAGGUAAAAUACAUGUAUAUAGUAGAAUACGUGUAUAUAGUAGAUGAAAUACAUGUAUAUAGUAGGUGAAAUACACGUAUUUCGGCUACGAUAUAGUAGGUGAAAUACAUGUAUAUGGUAGAAUACAUGUAUAUAGUAGGUGAAAUACAUGUAUAUAGUAGGUGAAAUACUUGUAUAUAGUAGGUGAAAUAAAUGUAUAUAGUAGGUGAAUACAUGUAUAUAGUAGGUGAAAUACCUGUAUAUAGUAGAAUACGUGUAUAUAGUAGGUGAAAUACACGUAUAUGGUAAAAUACAUGUAUAUAGUAGGUGAAAUACAUGUAUAUAGUAGGUGAAAUACAUGUAUAUAGUAGAAUACGUGUAUAUAGUAGGUGAAAUACAUGUAUAUAGUAGGUGAAAUACAUGUAUAUAGUAGAAUACAUGUAUAUAGUAGGUGAAAUACAUGUAUAUA
ensembl:lncRNA